CUCUCGCACACUAAGGGUGAAAAACCACGGGAUGGGAUGAUGCUCUCAUUUCAUCAACGUGGGGUAAGAGCAGGGGCGCAGACAAUGACCUCCGCAAGGCGGGGAACCAGAGAAACUAAAGCCCGCAGGGUUCUCUCUGGAGACCAAUCUCCUGCUUUUUCCUGCUGCAGAUCCGCUCUCUCCAUGUUUCAAGAGACGUGGCUGCAGGAAGCGUCCAGAGCUACCUCCUCACUGAUUCACAGCCAGAGAAAAAGGAAGCCUUCAGAGCAGGAGAGUAAUCCCAGCGCAGCCCCGGUCAGUGGUUAGUCGUGCAUUACUUUCCCCUGGGAGCAGAAGGUUUGUGAUGAGUCAAUGGGAAACCAGCACCUGUCAUCUGCGUGAAUUCUCCCCUCUUCUUCUCCAGUGAGCCUUUGGCUCACGCCAGCCCUGCCUCCUUGCUGCCUUCGUGAUGAACACACACAAGAUAUAAGAAAACAUGCCAAUACAGGCCCAGAUGAGAAACAGGGAAUCGAGUUGUCCUUGACUCCCAGAGAGCUUCAAAGGGGCUGCACCUUUUCAAAGAGGGACAUUUCUGCCUUAGAGAAACGGUGAGGAGCUCCACAUUCACACAGGCCUUCCUUCAGAGCCUGGUUGCUUGGCAAAGGUCAAGUCCGGCUCCACCAUGGUGCACCUCAGCUGGGCCACAAACAUCAUCCCAGCCCCUGGGCUGCUUAACCCACGAACCAAGGCAGCAGUUGUGAAAAGGACGCAGCCACAGCUCUCUUCAUCAAAGAGAAUUCCUCCAGCAAGUUUGUUUACAGAGCAAAGAUUCUCCCUCCUGGGGGGCGGGAAAUAGCAUUCCUUCCUGGAGGAUCCGACUGCUUUCCCUUCAUGUCACAUUCUGGGAUUUGACAAAUAUUUAUUGAUAUCUCCUCUGUUUGACAAGUCCUUUGAAACUGGCCUCUACAGGGUAAUCAUUUAAAAUUGAUUUUCAUGCUGCCUUAUGUUAUAAAUUGAUGGCAAAUAUU